UGCUGUUGCCAUAGCACCAUGAACAUGGUCCAAUAUUGUCGAUUUUGGAAGCUAAGCAGGGUUGGGCCUACUUAGUACUUGGAUACGAUUGUAAAAUUUGUCAUUUCAGUAG
rnacentral:rRNA from 1 species